UCCGCCGAGCGGCGGGAAGCAGCCCGGCCCCCCUCGGCCGCCUCCGCCCCUCAAUCUGGCGGCUUGUUUUCCUUCUCCGCGCGGACGAAGGGAGGGAGGGAGCGGUCGCUCUGGGGACUCACCUUUGCUUCCGAAACUGUCAAAGGCCGAGCUCGGGGCCCUGCGAGGUGCAGAAACACUGUCUUAGGGGCAGCUGCGUCUUCAGAACUCCUCCGGGAGCAGGCUCCAGCCCCACUCUCCAGUCAGCAAGCACCAGCUUUGGGAUGCCACAGAACCCAUACUAGCAAUAUCAGGAACUGGCCCCACACACCAGCAGGUCAAAAAAUCUGUCACUAAAUCUGUCAACCACCCACCUCAGCACCUGGCUGUGCUCACCAGUGAGCUAGCACCAGCAAUGAGACUCCACAACCCCAGGGUUCCCCAGCUAGCUGCUUGUCACUUGGCCCCACCAAAGAGUGGCCAGCAGUUUCUGCACAAGGUAGGGCCUGACAACCAACCAGACUGGCAGCCGGCCACCCACAGCCAACCACAACAGAAGUACCCAUGCAGCCCACAUAGGGGGCACCCCUAGAACUUAUAACACUAGUAACCAGAGGAGAUUAUACCACUGGGACUCAGAGGACGUUUCCUACCAAAGGCCACUUUUCCCAGGUUAGGAAGCAAAACCAACCUACAAGAUAUACAGAAAUACAAACAACAACUCUGAAAAAAAUAAAGCAAUAAAGGAAUAUGUUCCAAACAAAGGAAGGAGAUAAAAUCCCAGAGGAAGGUCUAAGUGGAGAUAGGUAGUCUACCAGAUAAAGAAUUCAAAGUAAUGGUCAUAAAGAUGACCAAAGAACUUGGGAGGAGAAUAGAUGAACAAAGUGAAAAGUUAGAGGUUUUUAACAAAGAGUUGGAAAAUAUAAAGAAGCCACAGAUAUCACCAGAAGAUUGUGAAACUCAAGAAGCAGCUCUACAGCAUCUAUGCCACGCACACCAAACAGAGCCUGCAGAUGAUCAAGUUGGCUAUGGAGAGAUACUGCUACAUGAACCCCACGGAGGCCCAGGAGUUUUGCAUCUUAGACAGAGUUCUAAUUCACUCUCCCUAGGAUGAUGGGAAUGAGUCUGAGCUGAUGCAGAAGGAGCCAGUGGUGGCAAUAGCAGCAGCAGAACCUGCCCCAGCAAGCAUCUGAGAGCUGGCCCUUACCCUCACCCUCUAAAGAAAAGUAGAGGAGCCAUAUGCCAGCCAUGCCUGCCUCCUGCUACUGAGGCUUGGGGGGCCCUUGAGGAACUCUGAAUUUAAAGGUGCCCCAAAGGUGGGUAUCUUGGCUGAGACACUGUGAUGUUAAAUUAAAUCUUUGUAGUCGAAACCCAAAAGAAAACAAAAAGACAACUUACAGAA